UGGGGAAUAUUGCACAAUGGGCGCAAGCCUGAUGCAGCCAUGCCGCGUGUAUGAAGAAGGCCUUCGGGUUGUAAAGUACUUUCAGCGAGGAGGAAGGCGUUGUGGUUAAUAACCGCAACGAUUGACGUUACUCGCAGAAGAAGCACCGGCUAACUCCGUGCCAGCAGCCGCGGUAAUACGGAGGGUGCAAGCGUUAAUCGGAAUUACUGGGCGUAAAGCGCACGCAGGCGGUCUGUCAAGUCGGAUGUGAAAUCCCCGGGCUCAACCUGGGAACUGCAUCCGAAACUGGCAGGCUAGAGUCUUGUAGAGUGGGGUAGAAUUCCAGGUGUAGCGGUGAAAUGCGUAGAGAUCUGGAGGAAUACCGGUGGCGAAGGCGGCCCCCUGGACAAAGACUGACGCUCAGGUGCGAAAGCGUGGGGAGCAAACA
rnacentral:rRNA from 1 species